GAUGAACGCUGGCGGCGUGCCUAAUACAUGCAAGUCGAGCGGACAGACGCGGCGCUUGCGCCUCUCUCGUUAGCGGCGGGCGUGUGAGUAACGCGUGUAUCCCCUCCUUGUCAGUCUGGUAUCACUUCGGGACUCCGGCUCAAACCCCGUAGAAUAUAUUGCACCGCAUGGUUCAUUGGUGAGAGUCGGUUUUUCUGGCACUUCUCGCUGGAUCUGCGCCGCAUUAGCUAGUUGGUACGGUCACGGCUUACCAAGGGUACCAUGCGUAGCCGACCUGAGAGGGUGAUCGGCCACCCUGGAACUGAGACACGGUCCAGACGCCUACGGGAGGCAGCAGUAGGGAAUCUGCCGCAAUGGGCGAAAGCAUGACGGAGCAACGCCGCGUGAGUGAUGAAGGUCUUCGGAUCGUAAAACUCUGUUAUUAGGGAAGAACAAAUGUGUAAGUAACUAUGCACGUCUUGACGGUACCUAAUCAGAAAGCCACGGCUAACUACGUG
rnacentral:rRNA from 1 species